rnacentral:rRNA from 1 species
AUUAUCGCGCCAGCAGCAUUACGCGUAGUGAAAUAUUUCAAUAGAUACCACUAUCUGUGCGAUUUAAUAGCAAAACAUUAUUGCUAAACAGGGAUUAGAGACCCCUUUAUACAAAUGCUCAUUAUAAUUUGCAGAGGACUACAACUAUCUGAGUUAAAACUUAAGCAACAUGGCGGUAAUUUUAAUUUAGGGGAACUUACUUAGUAAUUGAUAACCACCAAGGUAAAUCAACUUCCCAAAAAUCUUGUAUGCCGUCGUCGUCAGGUAGCACUUGAGGUUCUACCUUAAGAGUAUUUCUAAAAAGACAGAUCAAGGUGCAGACAAUUGUGAAGUUCUGGCGAGUUACAGUUUUUAUUAUUAACGAAUACAUAAGGUGUAAUUCAAUGUUGAAGGUGGACUUAACAGUAAUAAAUAAUAAUUUUAUUUUAUGAA